UGCUUCUUUAUGAAAAUAUUUUCUUUUCGGACAUCAUGACGGACAUUUUAGUGAAAUGCUUUAACGACGAUAAGUGGGACGUUUAUCCGGUGAAGUGGUUGGCUCACCCAACAACUAGUCUUCUACUGAUGUGCGAGCCUGACGGUUUUGAUGAGUUGCGCGGCAGAGGCUAUGAUGCCUGUUGGAGAGAAGGCACCCCGAAACAGUCGCAGCCGCACUUCUGAAGAUAGGUUACGUAUGCAGUAAAUUCCCAGAUGCUAAAGUGUUCUACGCCAAAAGCACCUUGGCGUCGUGCAAGAGACACCCGUUGAUAUGUGGCUGAUUCACUAGUGAAUGUGAUGCCUGAAAUGCAAAACGCAAGUUGCUCAUAAAGACCUUUCCUGAAGGCGGGCGGUAAACGCGCAGUGCCGCUUUCGAGAGAAGGCCGACCGUUUAUCCAUGUAGUUGUUUGUGGUUAAUUAAAGGCGACGCGGAUG